CCUGGGUCCCUUUUACUCCUGUGUCCAAAUGCUCAAUUCAGAGGAAAAGGAGUGAGGAGAAGAGUCUGGAGAACAGAGCUCCGCCACAUCUGGACAGAUCUUCAGCAGAAGUCACUGAGGGCCCCAGCCAGUCCCAGGUUCUGCUGGUCCCAUCGCUGGAAUGUAUCAGAGAGAUAGUCACACCUUGCACAAAUGGGAUAAUGAGGCAGGGUAGCGAGGAGCCUCAGGAGGGCUGGGAAGGGCAGAUCAGGUUCCUGAGGGUAGAGAAUCGGGCAACAGCAGAGCACACCCCCAGGGAGCUCACCCGGACCUGUGGCUUCCCCGCUGGCUCCUGGCAUCCACCUGUCAACCAGCAUACAGAGGUUUAGCUCACGUGCCAAGGCAAAGGUCAGGUGCCAGAGGCAAAAAUUAGACCUUUACCAAGCUGUGCCCUAGGAAAAGGGUAAAGAGAGUGCCAGUAAAAGGGGGCUACUCUGGUGUUUAACACAAGACGCCCAUCAUCAUGCCCUCGUCUUCAUUGCCAGGUUAAAAAGGCAAAGUUAGUUAUGAUGCCUAGAGGAAGUGAAGGAGGGGAUGGGCUUUCUUCUUUGGAGCAUGAAAGUGCCUUUAGGUCGUGGCCUCUCAUCUGACUCAGGUGUGGCUACCUCGCAAGCCUCGAUGCAGUGAGAAGGCUGUGGUGCUGGGCCAGGCAGAGGUGCAAGGGUUCCAGGAAGCCCCAGGGUGCAGGUGUAGGACUCUGAAGCAGGCUUUGGGUCUGCUGGGUGUCACCCACUGCUGCUUUCUACCAGAGGGUGCGAGAGACAAGAGGGGAAAGGACCUUGGGCUUCUGAGAAGUCAGACUUGAUGCGUAUGUCCAUCCUGAAAUAAUUUUCCUUCAUCAAGCACAUUGUGCUAGAGCGUCAAGCAAACACCACACCUGUCCCCAGCGCACACAAGCUCUGCAGAUAGGGGUGUUUGAAGAGAAUCAAAAUCUGGCCCUUGAUCUCCUCCCCUGAAGAGAGCAGAGUCUGUGAAUAAAGACUUACCUGACCAGGAGUGGUGGUGCACACCUGUAACCCCUGCAGCUCAGGAGGCUGAGACAGGAGGAUUGCAAGUUCAAAGCCAGCCUCAGCAACUUAGCAAGACCCUGUCUCAAAAAAUAAAAAGGGGAAGUGGCUCAGUAGUUAAUAAGUUUCUCUGGGUUCAAUCCCCGGUACCAAAAUAAAGAAAGGCCUGCCUGGCUUAGAAAUACUGCCCAGGACAUACCCCUCAAGUCUUGUCAGACUCAGCCAGGUCCCAGGCCUAUCAAGCAGCUCUAGAGUAAUCUAACCAGGAUAUUCUUGUGACUCUUAUAUGAUAAUGGGGUGGGGUGGUGCUUGCUAAAAUGAAGGACUGCCCUCAAAGAGCUCACUCUCCCAAAAGGGGAAGGCAGAUGCUUUUGAGCCCUUAUAUCCAAGGCAGCCACUGAAUAUGGAAAGAGGGGGAUAGGAGGCCAGGAGCAGGUUGUCCCAACACAGAGGAUGGUAGAUUGUUUGCAAAGUGGCAACUGGGCUGGAGAACAAUUCUGGAAGAACGUAGGAGAUAGGAUGUCCUGGUAACUUAUGGGAUGUGAGAUAGGGGCAGGAGUAUUAGAAAGAGAGGACAUGAAUUCCAAGCUGAGCUUAAAGAUGGGCAGAAGCCUCUCCCAGGUGGAGCUGGAGUAGGACUUGGAGCAGGGACAGAGCGAAGGCCCAGGAGAGGUGGGACAGCCAAGCUCACUGAUGGAACCCAGGGCUCAGGUCAUGUGUGGGCAGUGAAAAGCAAAGAAGAGAAUAGAAAGUUGGGUAUAAGUGCUUUAUUUAUUCCCUGAAAAUACCUUGCCAUCUUGAUUGAGCAUCCCAUUCCUUCACAAAGAUUUUUUUAAAAACCUUUGGCCUAGAUAUUUAUCAUCAUCUCUGAUAGGUGCUGCAGUGUCUGUAGGCCCCAGUGGGUGAUGGGUAAAGAGUGUUAAAUAACAGAGCCUGUUUUCCAGUCAUUUAGGCAGCCAGAGGAAAAAGACAAAAGCAACUCAGGGUCACAAGUCGGGGAACGACCCACAAAUGAUUCUAAGAUUCAUCAGCCCUUCAAGCUUUCUGCAUUCUUCUGUGCACCAAGUCACAACUUCAGCUGCUGGGAAUGAAUGGGUGGGGGGAUGGCCUUCCCAGAAGAGAUAGUGCUUGAUAAAGAGGGGAUUGGUGUGAGAGUAAUUGGGUGUAUAAAUAACUGCAUCCUUUUCCUGACAGAGGGCCCCUCAGAGAGCAUGGAGGAGGGAAAGUGGCCUCUUAAGGCAGAACAGAAGGUCUGAAGCCAGCUCACCCCUCCUUGGGUGGUAUGAAGCAAAACACAAUUUCUCUGGGUCUCAGUUUUGUCAUAGAUUAGAUGGGUGCAAUGUGCCCCUAUCCAAGUCAAUCUCUUCAUACAGUCCAAAUUAGAUAAUGGUCAAAUGCUUAUUAAAAAAAAAAAAGAGGUUGCCACUUUUUAAAAAAUAUUUAUUUUUCAGUUGUAGUUGGACACAAUACCUUUAUUUCGUUUAUUUUUUAUGUGGUGCUGAGGAUCGAACCCAGGGUCUUGCACAUGCUAGGUGAGCACUCUACCGAUGAGCCUUUUAACAAGGCCCACAACCCCUGAAUAUUGGCUAUAAAAUCAACAGCAGCUUUGGGAGUAGCAGACUCCACAUCACUCAGUAUGCCCUCUGGAAUGGCUGUGGUGAAGUCAGUGAGUCCUUCCUAAGGGUGAUGAGAAACAAAGCCUCACAUGGCCAAACAUCAGGUGUGCCACUGGUAUCCGGCAGCUAAUUUCGACUCCCUUCAGCUGAGCUACCUGAGCAUAAGGGUUAUCAGUUUGGCUUGAUCUGGUUGAACGUGGAUGUCUGCCUAUUUCCCCAUUUUGCCACGUGAAGAGCUGCACAAUCCCAGAACAGGGUCACCACAGGCAAGCAGGUCUGCCAUGCUCAGCAUCUUCACAGGAUUAUCAGGACCAUGGGGAUAUAGAUUUCAAACUAUGUUCAGUACAGUGGAUCUCAGCCCUGGCUGCUCAGUGGAAUCAACUCGGAAGUUUUUACAAAUGCUGAUGUUUUGGUCACACCUUAGACAAAUGGAAACCAAAUCUUUGCAGUCUGUAUAUAAACAUUUCUAACAUUCUCCUGGUGAUUUCCAAUAUGCAGCCAGGGUUGGGAACUUCCUGGUUAAUGAGUUCUUCUGCUACAAUUUUUUGGAAGUCUGAAAACCAUAUUCUUAUGACACCACAGUGACUCACUUCAGACCAUGAGUGUUUACUAUGUGCCAGACGCUGAGCAUGUAAACAUAAACAAGUCUUUUUUUUUACCCCCCAUUGUAAUGAUCACAUCUGUUUUACUUUGCUAGGUAAAUUCAGGAGAGCAGGAUUUGCAUGAGUCAACUUCACAACUAGCAAGGCUCUCAACCCUGUCCAAAAGGAUUCAGUGGGUAAACUUAGGUUUCUUCGGGUCAUUAUAUAACACUCUCGGGAGACCUCAGAUAUUGCAAUAAAAAGCCACAGAGAACAAAAAUCAUUUUUAAGAAUUCCAAGGAUGCUGGAGACAAGACCAACACACUCAGAAAGUAGAUGCUCCUACACACCACCUACAGAUCACUAGGAAAUUCAUUAGGAAAAUCAUUUCACUCAACAGUAGCAGCAGCCUCCUAUAUCUUUUUAACAGUUUCUGUAUCAAAAGGUCAUGUCAGGUGAUGGGCCACAUGCUAUCUAGCCUUGCACAAGAACAUUCUAUGAUGUUUGCAUGACAAAAUCAACUACUAACAUGUUUCUCAGAAUG
rnacentral:lncRNA from 1 species